rnacentral:rRNA from 1 species
UGUGUAGACUGGUUAUUAAGUUUGUUGUUAAAUCUUUCGGCCUAACUGGAAGCUCGCAAUGAAAACUGAUAGCCUAGAGGAUGGAAGAGAGAAGUGGAAUUCUCGGAGUAGCGGUAAAAUGCGUAGAUCUCGAGAGGAACACCGAUGGCGAAGGCAGCUUCUUGGUCCAUAUCUGACGUUGAAACACGAAAGCGUGGGGAGCAAACA